rnacentral:rRNA from 1 species
UACGUAGGGUGCAAGCGUUGUCCGGAAUUAUUGGGCGUAAAGAGCUCGUAGGCGGUUUGUCGCGUCUGCUGUGAAAACUCGGGGCUCAACUCCGAGCUUGCAGUGGGUACGGGCAGACUAGAGUGCGGUAGGGGAGACUGGAAUUCCUGGUGUAGCGGUGGAAUGCGCAGAUAUCAGGAGGAACACCAGAGGCGAAGGCGGCGACCUGGACAAGUACUGACACUCAACUACGAAAGCGUGGGGAGCAAACAGG